rnacentral:rRNA from 1 species
CACGUAGGGCGCGAGCGUUGUCCGGAAUUAUUGGGCGUAAAGAGCUCGUAGGCGGCCUGUUGCGUCCGCUGUGAAAGCCCGGGGCUUAACCCCGGGUCGGCAGUGGAUACGGGCAGGCUAGAGGUAGGUAGGGGAGAAUGGAAUUCCCGGUGUAGCGGUGAAAUGCGCAGAUAUCUGCAGGAACACCCGUGGCGAAGGCGGCUCGCUGGACCGCAACUGACGCUGAGGAACGAAAGCUAGGGGAGCAAACAGG